CAUUGUAGAAGAUAUUCAGUUUCUCAACAAAAAAUUGCAGGCAUCCGUUCAAGAUUUAAGUUGUUUUGAUGAAUAUGCCACUGAAGUAAAAUGUGGGUGACUAGAGUGGUCUCUAGUCCACCGGUCUGCUCAGUUCUAGAGAGAAAAUGCAGCACGUUUGAAUGAGCGCAACUAUGAGCUUCUUUGCUGUCUGGUCUUUUUACUUGAUAUUUCCAAGGAUGCUUUGGUGUUCAGCAUUGCAUCCUUUGAUGUUGGUGAAUACGUCCGUCACUAUCCGCGAGGCAAACAUGUCAUUGAACAGCUAGGAGGAAAACAACUUGUGAUGCAACUUUUAUCUCACAAAGAUCCCAAUGUUCGUUAUGAAGCUCUGUUGGCUGUUCAAAAGUGAAUGGUUCUCAACUGGUAAGUUCCUCUCUCU
rnacentral:lncRNA from 1 species